CAGUCGCCACGGUAUACGGAGGGUGCAAGCGUUAAUCGGAAUUACUGGGCGUAAAGCGUGCGUAGGCGGCUUCUUAAGUCGGAUGUGAAAUCCCUGAGCUUAACUUAGGAAUUGCAUUCGAUACUGGGAAGCUAGAGUAUGGGAGAGGAUGGUAGAAUUCCAGGUGUAGCGGUGAAAUGCGUAGAGAUCUGGAGGAAUACCGAUGGCGAAGGCAGCCAUCUGGCCUAAUACUGACGCUGAGGUACGAAAGCAUGGGGAGCAAACAGGAUUAGAUACCCGAGUAGUCCUGUCUCUUAUACAC
rnacentral:rRNA from 1 species